ensembl:lncRNA
GGCUAGCCCCACCGAGACCACCAUGUACAUGGUUCGUUCCACUACAGCGUCAUUUCGUUUUUCACAGUUCAUUGGCGGUAGGGUAAGGCACGUGAUGAGUCAUGACUCGAGUGACAUCCCACCUCACCUUCCGUGCCGCGCGUAAGAAGCCCGGUAGCGAAGAAGAGAAGGAGAAGGAUAACCUUGCUAAAAAACAUCCCGGAGGCACACAUCGAAAACGAAUCGACAACAUGAAUGUGGUAGAUCAUCUAUUGGAGCACAGAUUUGAGACCCUUAGUCUCGAGGAAAAAUUUGAGGUCCUUGUGGGUGGAGGGCUGAAUAGAGAAUGGGAAACGCCAAGCCAGGGCUACAAACAGCAUGGUGGGACACUUGACUAAGAAUCCAUCUGUGCCGCCCAGUUGAUCACCGAGGACGAGGGCUUGGGUCGGCUGGCCCACACGGUGCAGGUCUUGGUGGACCUCGCGCCGACUGCUGCCAGCCACCGCCGCGCUAGCACUGCUCCAUCCUUCUCCUGGCUCCAUGUUGUCCACUGAUUUUGCUGUCAUCCAAAGGUCCAAAAGGGAUUUUUGAUGCAAGCUACUACAGGGAGCCAGUGGAGGUCCCGGAAGAGGGGAGUCACAUGGGAGAACUUCGGCCUGUGACUCCGUGGUGCAGCGGAGAGAGCGCACGACUCGAGGCCCUGGAGGUCUGAGUUCAAGUCCCGAUUUAAGCCCCAGUCUCCGGAUUGAAAAUCCCAAGCUCUCCCUGCGGCACCAGACAGUGAGUUCAGAAGUUCAGAGGUUCAGAAGAUCAGAGUUUCAGAAGACCGUUAGAGGAACUGGGAGCUGAGUCCCGUUGAACAGCGAAAGAUCCCGCACGGAUGAGCCCCUUCCCACAUGCAGGACUUCAUCAUUCCGUUUCGUCCUCCUCGACCCCUCCGUCCAUCAACAGCGUGUCUUCUUUCAAUCCCCGUUUAUCCAUAUCCAAAGCCGAAACUCAUUGCAAACAUUUUGAUCAUCUGUUUGUCCGAGGAUAUACAACACCAGCAACUCUCACGACCAGUGGCGGUUGGUCAAUUAGGGCGCUAGUGAGCCGCCCCUCUGUGCAAUAUUCACUUGACACUGUUGUUAUUUUUUGGUCGUCAUGAAAAAAAACAAAAGG